UACAGAGGUCUCAAGCGUUGUUCGGAUUCAUUGGGCGUAAAGGGUGCGUAGGCGGCGCGGUAAGUCGGGUGUGAAAUCUCGGGGCUUAACUCCGAAACUGCAUUCGAUACUGCCGUGCUUGAGGACUGGAGAGGAGACUGGAAUUUACGGUGUAGCGGUGAAAUGCGUAGAUAUCGUAAGGAAGACCAGUGGCGAAGGCGGGUCUCCUGGACAGUUCCUGACGCUGAGGCACGAAGGUCAGGGGAGCAAACGGG
rnacentral:rRNA from 1 species